AUAUAUUAUAGAAUAUAUAGUUUUUGUUGAUGAUAUCAACAUCUUCCCCUGGUGCAGAUCUUGGUAGUAGUAGCAAAUAUUCAAAUGAGAACUUUGAAGAGUGAAGUGGGGAAAUGUUCCAUGUGAACAUCACUUGGAUAUGGUCGGUUAGUCGAUCCUAAGAGAUGGGGAAUCCUUGUAUCAACGGUGCACUUUGCAUGAACCUCGAAAGAGAAUUGGGUUAAUAUUCUCGAACCGGGACAUGCUACUGGAUGACAAUGUUAGGAUGAAACAAGGAGUAUAGGUUACAAACAUUAUGAUC
rnacentral:ncRNA from 1 species